CGGAGGCGCUCAAAGGUUCUCUCAGUACGGUCGGAAAUCGUACGUAGAGUGUAAAGGCAAAAGAGAGCUUGAUUGCAAGACAUACAGGUCGAGCAAGGAUGAAAAUCGGACUUAGUGAUCCGGUGGUUCUGCGUGGAAGGGCCAUCGCUCAACGGAUAAAAGCUACCCUGGGGAUAACAGGCUUAUCUCCCCCAAGAGUCCACAUCGACGGGGAUGUUUGGCACCUCGAUGUCGGCUCAUCACAUCCUGGGGCUGUAGUAGGUCCCAAGGGUUGGGCUGUUCGCCCAUUAAAGUGGUACGCGAGCUGGGUUCAGAACGUCGUGAGACAGUUCGGUCCCUAUCCGUCGCAGGCGUAGGAAAUUUGAGAAGACCUGUCCUUAGUACGAGAGGACCGGGAUGGACGUACCUCUGGUGUACCAGUUGUCCUGCCAAGGGCAUGGCUGGGUAGCUAUGUACGGAAUGGAUAAGCGCUGAAAGCAUCUAAGCGCGAAGCCAACUUCAAGAUAAGAUUUCCCACCGCAAGGGUAAGACCCCAGAAAGACUAUCUGGUUGAUAGGUCGAAGGUGUAAGUGCAGCAAUGUAUUUAGCUUAUCGAUACUAAUAGGUCGAGGACUUGACCAAU
rnacentral:rRNA from 1 species